AGACCGAUAGCGAACAAGUACAGUGAUGGAAAGAUGAAAAGAACUUUGAAAAGAGAGUGAAAAAGUACGUGAAAUUGUUGAAAGGGAAGGGCUUGAGAUCAGACUUGGUAUUUUGCAUGUUGCUCUCUCGGGGGCGGCCGCUGCGGUUUACCGGGCCAGCAUCGGUUUGGAGCGGCAGGAUAAUGGCGGAGGAAUGUGGCACGGCUUCUGCUGUGUGUUAUAGCCUCUGACGAUGCUGCCAGCCUAGACCGAGGACUGCGGUUUUUUACCUAGGAUGUUGGCAUAAUGAUCUUAAGUCGCCCGUCUUGAAACACGGACCAAG
rnacentral:rRNA from 1 species